UGGCGGACGGGUGAGUAACGCGUGGGGAACCUGCCCUGUACAGGGGGAUAACACUUAGAAAUAGGUGCUAAUACCGCAUAAGCGCACAGUAUCGCAUGAUACAGUGUGAAAAACUCCGGUGGUACAGGAUGGACCCGCGUCUGAUUAGCUGGUUGGCGGGGUAACGGCCCACCAAGGCGACGAUCAGUAGCCGGCCUGAGAGGGUGAACGGCCACAUUGGGACUGAGGCACGGCCCAAACUCCUACGGAAGGCAGCAG
rnacentral:rRNA from 1 species